GAUGAAGAACGUAGCGAAAUGCGAUAAGUAAUGUGAAUUGCAGAAUUCAGUGAAUCAUCGAAUCUUUGAACGCACCUUGCGCCCUUUGGCUAUUCCGAAGGGCAUGCCUGUUUGAGUAUCGUGAACACCUCAACUCUCAUGGUUUGCCAUGAUGAGCUUGGACUCUGGGGGUUUUGCUGGCCUUUGGUCGGCUCCUCUCAAACGGAUCAGCUUUCCAGUGUUUGGUGGCGUCACGGGUGUGAUAACUAUCUACGCCUGUGGUUUUCUGCCAGAUAACCUUCAGCGAUGGAGGUUCGCUGGGGCUCAUAAAUGUCUCUCUUCAGUGGAGACAGCUUUUUGGACGUUUGAUCUCAAAUCAGGUAGGACUACCCGCUGAACUUAAGCAUAUCAAUAAGCGGAGGA
rnacentral:misc_RNA from 1 species